UAGGGAAUCUUCGGCAAUGGACGAAAGUCUGACCGAGCAACGCCGCGUGAGUGAAGAAGGUUUUCGGAUCGUAAAACUCUGUUGUUAGAGAAGAACAAGGACGUUAGUAACUGAACGUCCCCUGACGGUAUCUAACCAGAAAGCCACGGCUAACUACGUGCCAGCAGCCGCGGUAAUACGUAGGUGGCAAGCGUUGUCCGGAUUUAUUGGGCGUAAAGCGAGCGCAGGCGGUUUCUUAAGUCUGAUGUGAAAGCCCCCGGCUCAACCGGGGAGGGUCAUUUGAAACUGGGAGACUUGAGUGCAGAAGAGGGGAGUGGAAUUCCAUGUGUAGCGGUGAAAUGCGUAUAUAUAUGGAGGAACACCAGUGGCGAAGGCGGCUCUCUGGUCUGUAACUGACGCUGAGGCUCGAAAGCGUGGGGAGCAAACAGG
rnacentral:rRNA from 1 species